AACAAUAACUUAUCGGGAUAUCUUCCACCAGAAUUCUCCAAGUUACACAGUUUGGAAAUACUGCAACUUGAUAACAAUAAUUUCAGCGGGAAUGGAAUUCCUUCUACCUAUGAAAAUUUACCCAGGCUUGUAAAAUUGAGUCUGAGAAAUUGCAGCCUGCAAGGAGCUAUUCCCGAUUUAAAUUCAAUACCAAGUC